UACGUAGGGUGCGAGCGUUGUUCGGAAUUACUGGGCGUAAAGGGCGCGUAGGCGGGCCUGUAAGUCGGAUUGUGAAAGCCCCGGGCUUAACCUGGGAACAGCAGUCGAAACUGCAGGUCUUGGAUGCCUGAGAGGAUGGCGGAAUUCCCGGUGUAGAAGUGAAAUUCGUAGAUAUCGGGAAGAACACCUGAGGCGAAGGCGGCUGUCUGGCGGUGCAUCGACGCUGAGGCGCGAAAGCGUGGGGAGCAAACGGG
rnacentral:rRNA from 1 species